UGAGUGGCGGACGGGUGAGUAACGCGUGGGCAACCUGGCCUGGUACAGGGGGAUAACACUUAGAAAUAGGUGCUAAUACCGCAUAACGGGGGAAGCCGCAUGGCUUUUCCCUGAAAACUCCGGUGGUACAGGAUGGGCCCGCGUCUGAUUAGCCAGUUGGCAGGGUAACGGCCUACCAAAGCGACGAUCAGUAGCCGGCCUGAGAGGGCGGACGGCCACACUGGGACUGAGACACGGCCCAGACUCCUACGGGAGGCAGCAG
rnacentral:rRNA from 1 species